rnacentral:lncRNA from 1 species
UAUCUCCAAACAGACCAAACCAAGCUUUCACUUGAGCCCCUCUACCAAGGAGUACCAUCGGGUGCAUCCAAAAUGGUUUUUUAGCCUAUGGUGCAUUAGGCGCAAACGGUACACCUAUCUUGCACCGAAACUAACACUGUCUUCAAACAGACCGAAGCGAGAUUCCAUAUGACACGAGUCAUCUAGAAGUUCUAUUGGGUGCGUCC